CCAACGGCCGCGCCUCGCGCCAGACACAAAGGGGACUCGCUCCAACCGCCGGCCCGGGGCGCCGCGCGCCACCCCUCGCGCCCCGCCCCCGCCGCGCCCCUGACCAUAGAGGCGGGCCUCCGGGAAGUGAAGUCCAACUGCUCAAAAUGCUUCCUACCCAGCUGCAGCUACCAAUAAAAUAAGCAGGAGCUGCUUUGCUCACAGAAAACAAGAACCUAACUGUGUGGGCUGCACAGCACUUUCACUGUUUGGAUGGUUAAAGAAAAUUAUGGUAAUUAUGACGUAUAUCAAAACCUGCUCAGCCUGAAGUAAAUGACAGAAGUCCUGCUCGUGUUAAUGGUUCCAGUCUUGGCUCAUUAGUUAACGCUGGGAGUUCUCCACAAGGAUUCACAUAAAACAGAUAUUCUGCCUUGAAACGUUUUUAUUCUUGCGUCAAAGUGGAUUGGGUUUUUUUUUCCUAGAAAGAAGAAACAAGACUCAUGCUGUUUUUAAUACUACUAUGCCCUCACAGUUUCACAAAUACCCAGGUCAUGUUCCGGCAGACACCCUUGCAAAGGCCACAGAGGCCUGCAAAAGCCCCCCCCCAAGGCUGUGGAGAUGCUUUGCCUGAGCUUGUAUCAGGACCUAGGAGGACUAACCUCCUGGACACACCUCCCCAGCAGUUUGCAAGAGUUCGUCCUCCUUCCCUGCCCCAUUUUGAAUUCUGCAGAAGCCUGGAGCAGGGGCUGGCAGGGCGUGAAGCCCCUGGCACCGCAGCCAUGUCGUGCUGCAGGGCCGAGGAGGGGCUGGCUGGCCCUGCUCCAUCACACAGAUGCAGGAAGCAAUCACGGCUGCCCAAGCACAGGAGCAGCUUCCUUUUCCCACGGUGGUGGAAGGAAACCAGAUCUGAACUGUCACUUGCAGACUUACUCAUUGUUAUGUGCUCAGACAAGGGUAUAUUUAUAGAUCUUGAUGUGACACUGUUUUAUCUGUUUAACUGUAAGCUAGAAUUUCACCAGCAUAAUAUUCAGCAAUUUCAACUAAGACCAACGGGAAGACGUCCAGGACAAUGAAGACCCGCAAAGUUGCAGCACUGCAAGUCUGUGACGUUGGUCCCAAAAAGGCUGGGGGAGAGAUGAGAAAAAGCCUGUAAAACUUACCAAGAUUUUAGAGGAAGAUGUUCUGCCUGAAGCACUGCAUUUCCACCAGGAAAAACUUAGCUUGGUGAAACAACAGUAUUGAAUACGACUAAGAAACUACUGUUAAAAACAGAGAGAAAACAGAUGCCAUUCUACAACUGUUGUUCGCUGUUCUCACAGCCAGGCGAGGACAAGGAUGAGCAUGGAAGCAUUUGCAGGACAGGUGCAAGGACAGCGACAGAAGAGCCAAGGCACAGUGGCUGCAAGCUCCUCAUAGCUAGCAGCCUAAUGUGAACGGAGCCCACAGCAGGGCAUGUCUGCCUUGCCCUGGGGCGAGGAAGCUUUGAAUGACACAGACCCUGGCGGGGCACUGAGGCUGCCUUUUAUGCUAUGUCUGUACUUAAGUGAGACACCGCAAUGAGAAGUACAGCUGAUACACAUCUCGGGUCUUUCCUGCUGUCCACCACACUGAUGCACACGCAAACAUGGUGAUGUCACUUGCAGAUUCAACACUGCACAUAAAUGAGACAGAACACGUCCUCGUUAGCAGCAUCUCAUGUGAACGCUGUGUGUUGUUUUUUUUUAUUACUAGGCAUAUGGGGAUUUGUUUUCAUGCUUCAAGGGAAUAUUCCAAUCAAUGGAAAAUAAAAUGUACAAGGCAUUAAGAAAGCCAAAGUGAACUACCAAACAA
rnacentral:lncRNA from 1 species